AUUGAACGCUGGCGGUAGGCCUAACACAUGCAAGUCGAACGCGAAAGUCCUUCGGGAUGAGUAGAGUGGCGGACGGGUGAGUAACGCGUAGGAAUCUAUCCUGUAGUGGGGGAUAACGUUUCGAAAGGAACGCUAAUACCGCAUACGCCCCACGGGGGAAAGCGGGGGAUCUUCGGACCUCGUGCUAUAGGAGGAGCCUGCGUCGGAUUAGCUAGUUGGUGAGGUAAAGGCUCACCAAGGCGACGAUCCGUAGCUGGUCUGAGAGGAUGAUCAGCGACACCGGAACUGGGACACGGUCCGGACUCCUACGGGAGGCAGCAGUGGGGAAUAUUGCGCAAUGGGCGAAAGCCUGACGCAGCCAUACCGCGUGUGUGAAGAAGGCCUUCGGGUUGUAAAGCACUUUCAGUGGGGAGGAAAAGCUGGUGGCUAAUAUCCAUCGGCCGUGACGCUACCCACAGAAGAAGCACCGGCUAAUUCCGUGCCAGCCGCCGCAGUAAGAC
rnacentral:rRNA from 1 species